rnacentral:rRNA from 1 species
UACGGAGGGUGCAAGCGUUACUCGGAAUCACUGGGCGUAAAGCGCAUGCAGGCGGUUUAAUAAGUUGGAAGUGAAAUCCUAUGGCUCAACCAUAGAACUGCUUCCAAAACUGUUAAACUAGAGUCUGGGAGGGGAAGAUGGAAUUAGUAGUGUAGGGGUAAAAUCCGUAGAGAUUACUAGGAAUACCAAAAGCGAAGGCGAUCUUCUGGAACAGUACUGACGCUGAGAUGCGAAAGCGUGGGGAGCAAACAGGAUUAGAUACCCUGGUAGUCCACGCAGUAAACGAUGAAUGUUAGUCGUUGGGUCUCUAGUAGAUUCAGUGAUGCAGUUAACACAUUAAACAUUCCGCCUGGGGAGUACGGUCGCAAGAUUAAAACUCAAAGGAAUAGACGGGGACCCGCACAAGUGGUGGAGCAUGUGGUUUAAUUCGAAGAUACGCGAAGAACCUUACCUAGCCUUGACAUAUUUUAGAAUUCACCAGAGAUGGAGAAGUGCCUUCGGGAGCUAAUAUACAGGUGCUGCACGGCUGUCGUCAGCUCGUGUCGUGAGAUGUUGGGUUAAGUCCCGCAACGAGCGCAACCCUCGUCACUAGUUACUAACGAUUCGGUCGAGGACUCUAGUGAGACUGCCUUCGUAAGGAGGAGGAAGGUGAGGACGACGUCAAGUCAUCAUGGCCCUUACGGCUAGGGCAACACACGUGCUACAAUGGUUAGGACAAUGAGAAGCAAUAUCGCGAGGUGGAGCAAAUCUAUAAACCUAAUCUCAGUUCGGAUUGUAGUCUGCAACUCGACUACAUGAAGCUGGAAUCACUAGUAAUCGUAGAUCAGCUAUGCUACGGUGAAUACGUUCCCGGGUC